rnacentral:misc_RNA from 1 species
UCCGGCUUAACGCCGGCAGUCUCCCUAGAGUGCCCAACUGAAUGGUGGCAACUAAGGACAAGGGUUGCGCUCGUUGCGGGACUUAACCCAACAUUUCACAACACGAGCUGACGACAGCCAUGCAGCACCUGUCUCAGAGCUCCUUGCGGCACCAAUCCAUCUCUGGAAAGUUCUCUGGAUGUCAAGACCUGGUAAGGUUCUUCGCGUUGCAUCGAAUUAAACCACAUGCUCCACCGCUUGUGCGGGCCCCCGUCAAUUCAUUUGAGUUUUAACCUUGCGGCCGUACUCCCCAGGCGGUCGACUUAUCGCGUUAGCUGCGCCACUAAAGACUCUAAGGUCUCCAACGGCUAGUCGACAUCGUUUACGGCGUGGACUAC